rnacentral:tRNA from 1 species
AUUUAAAUAGCUUAUAUAGAGCAUGAUAUUGAAGAUAUUAAGGAAAUUUAUAAAAUUUUUAAAUA